rnacentral:misc_RNA from 1 species
GCAAACUUGGUCAUUUAGAGGAAGUAAAAGUCGUAACAAGGUUUCCGUAGGUGAACCUGCGGAAGGAUCAUUAUUGAAGUUGAUUCGGGUUGUCGCUGGCUCUCAGGAGCAUGUGCACGCCUGUUCAUAUUCACAUUCCCUUGUGCACCUUUAGCUAGACUAUGGAAUUGUCUCGAGUGAAAAUCUCGGAUUGAGGGUUUGCGCCUUUUAGCUUCCCUUGGAUUUCAUAGUCUAUGUUUUCACAUACCCUUUUGAAUGUCUUAGAAUGUUUUUAUUUUUGUGGGUUCUUUGUGACCUAUAAAAUGUCAUUACAACUUUCAACAACGGAUCUCUUGGCUCUCGCAUCGAUGAAGAACGCAGC